AAAAUGACUCUCGGCAACGGAUAUCUCGGCUCUCGCAUCGAUGAAGAACGUAGCGAAAUGCGAUACUUGGUGUGAAUUGCAGAAUCCCGUGAACCAUCGAGUCUUUGAACGCAAGUUGCGCCCCAAGCCUUCGGGCCGAGGGCACGUCUGCCUGGGUGUCACGC
rnacentral:rRNA from 1 species